GAUGAACGCUGGCGGCGUGCCUAAUACAUGCAAGUCGAACGGACGGGCGAGACUCUUGCUUCUUUGAUGUUAGCGGCGGGCGGGUGAGUCACACGUGGAUAACCUACCUAUAUGACUGGGAUCAUUUCGGGAAACCGUCGCUUAUACCGGAUAAUAUUUUGCACCGCAUGGUUCAAUAGUGAAAGACGGUCUUGCUGUCACUUCUAGAUGGAUACGCGCUUCAUUAGCUAGUUGGGAAGUUAACGGCUUUCCAAGGCAACGAGGCCUAGCCGACGUCCGAGAGGGAUCGCCGACAUGGGAAGUGAGACAGGGACCUGGCGCCUAAGAUAGGCAGCAGUAGGGAAUCGGACGCAAUGGGCGAGAACCUUACAGAGUAAGGCCGCGUGAGUGAUGACAGUCUUCCGAGCGUAAAACUCUGUUAUUAGGGAAGAACAUAUGUGUAAGUAACUGUGCACAGCGUGACGGUACCUAAUCAGAAAGCACCGGCUAACUACGUG
rnacentral:rRNA from 1 species